UACGAAGGGGGCUAGCGUUGUUCGGAAUUACUGGGCGUAAAGCGUAUGCAGGCGGAUCGUUAAGUCGGGGGUGAAAUCCCGAGGCUCAACCUCGGAACUGCCUUCGAUACUGGCGACCUUCGAGUCCGGGAGAGGUGAGUGGAACUCCGAGUGUAGAGGUGGAAUUCGUAGAUAUUCGGAAGAACACCAGUGGCGAAGGCGGCUCACUGGCCCGGUACUGACGCUGAGAUACGAAAGCGUGGGGAGCAAACAGG
rnacentral:rRNA from 1 species